AAAGAAAAGAAAAAGAGAAAGAAAAAAAACAUUAGCUGGGCAUGGUGCCAGGUGCCUGUAAUCCCAGCUACUCGGAAGGCUGAGGCAGGAGAAUCGCUUGAAUCUGGGAGGCACAGGUUGCGUUGAGCCGAGAUCCCGCCACUGCACUCCAGCCUGGGCAACAAGAGUGAGACUCUGUCUCAAAACAAAACAAAACAAAACAAAAAAGCACUGAAUCCAAAUCACAAAUAAUGAGAUUUAGCAUAGGGAAUUCAGUUGCAGACAGCAUAGCGUUUAUUUUUUAUGGUUUUAGACUCCUCAGGCUAAUUUCAUAUGCAUGUUAAAGGUUUAAUUUGUAGAAUAAGUAAAUUUAAACACAAGUAAAAUAUUAGAAUUGAAUGCCAAGGUCUCAUAGUAUUUGAAAAUCACAUGUACUCUUGUCUGGAAUCCACCUCAACUCUUGACAGCCAUGGUCAUGUCUUGAACUUCCAAAUCGAGAAACCACUCCAGCUACAAGAUUUCUAACUGAAAAUUUUCUCUUAACCUUUUACUUCUUCUAUUUUUCCUGUUAAAUGAGGUCAAUUAAACAUGCUCUUCACUUGCUGGGCGUGGUGGCACAUGGCUGUAAUCCUAGUUACUUGGGAGACUGAGGCAAGAGCAUCCCUUGAGUCCAGGAGUUUGAAUCCAAUUGGGGCAACACAGGAAGAACCCGUAUAUUAAAAAAAUAAAAAAAUAAAUGUCUUCAUAUUUACUUUGACUUUGACUCUUUUAGCUUACACUAAUAUUCUAAGCCUAUGAUGAUUACUUGUCUCAUGGCUUUCAUGUUCCCAUGAACAUGCUAGCCAUUUUGAGCAACUGAAAAUUGCUUGGCCUUUUGAUUUUCCUUUGUUACUAGCUGAAUGUUUUGCCCUGGCCUUGGCCUUGGAACAUCACUUUCUUCUUCAGAUAUGUGAACAAGGACGGAUACAACCAGAUCUAACCAGACUAGGUUUAGGAUAUGUAUCUUUCAGAUUGAGGAACCCACUCAAGGGCAACAUUAACAUACAGAGGCUUCUUGACUUAUGAUGUGGUUACAUCCCAAUAAACCCAUCAUAAGUUGAAAAUAUCAUAAGGCAAAAAUGCGCUUAGUACAGCUAACCUACCAAACAUCAUAGCUUAGCCUAGCCUACCUUGAACAUGCUCAGAACACUUACAUUAUCCUACAGUUGGGCAAAAUCAU
rnacentral:lncRNA from 10 species